UACGGGGGGGGUAAGCGUUGUUCGGAAUUACUGGGCGUAAAGGGCUCGUAGGCGGCCAACUAAGUCAUACGUGAAAUCCCUCAGCUUAACUGGGGAACUGCGUGUGAUACUGGAUGGCUUGGAUUUGGGAGAGGGAUGCGGAAUUCCAGGUGUAGCGGUGAAAUGCGUAGAUAUCUGGAGGAACACCGGUGGCGUAAGCGCCUUGCUGGCCUAAAAUUGACGCUGAGAUACGAAAGUGUGGGGAGUGAACGGG
rnacentral:rRNA from 1 species